GUGGCCAGUGGAGAAGACAAGAGUGGAACGACUGCAGUCUGUGCUCUCAUAUCACCAACACACAUCUUCGUGGCUAAUUGUGGAGACUCGCGAGCAGUUUUAUACCGAGGAGGCAAAAUUGGCUUCAGCACACAAGACCAUAAACCUGUGAACCCAGUGGAGAAGGAGAGGAUCCAGAAUGCAGGUGGAUCAGUGAUGAUUCAGAGAGUAAAUGGAUCCCUCGCUGUCUCACGAGCACUUGGAGAUUAUGAGUACAAAAAUGUGGAGGGCAAAGGACCAUGUGAGCAGCUGGUGUCCCCAGAACCUGAAAUAUACGUAGAGCGCCGCCAGAGUGAUGAUGAGUUUUUGGUAUUGGCCUGUGAUGGAGUGUGGGAUGUCAUGACCAAUGAAGACCUCUGUGCUUUCGUGCGGUCCCGCCUCCUUCUAUCCGAUGACCUGGAAUCCAUAGCUAACCAUGUUGUAGACACUUGUCUUUACAAGGGAAGUCGUGACAACAUGAGUAUAGUGCUGUUAACACUCCCAGGGGCCCCUAAGGUAUCUGAAGAGGCUAUUAAAAAGGAAAAAGAAAUGGAAGAUAUAAUAGAGAAAAAGGUUGCGGAGGUGUGUGCACAGGAGGGACCAGUGAGCAUGCCACAGAUAAUGUCAGUGCUAGCUGAAGAAUAUAUCCCAGGCCUUCCCCCAGGUGGAGGUCAUCCUGCAAAGCGAGGCUUUGUGGAACAGAUAUUCAGAAAGUUGCGACCUGACUGUGCAAAUGCAGAGAGCAUGGAUGAGAUGGGGGAGGAUGGACUGAGUGGUAAUUUGAUGUUCUUCCCGAGUCCAACAAUGCGUGACAAGAUAACCUCCAUUUUCGAAAACUCGUCCCUUGAUGAUGACGCUUGAUGAUGAUGAUGAUGAUCAUGAUGAAGGGUUCUGGGUUGGGUUUAGGGGCAGAAGAACUGAAGGUCUGUACAAACUUUUUCUCUUUGUUAAGAGAAUGGUGCAAAAUCAGAAAUACAUCCAUACUCACACAUACACCCAAAACCAGAGACCUGUCCAUUCACACGCAUAUGUACAUGCACAUAUUUUGUUAAUUGUAUCAUUUCAGCUACAAGGCUGUUUUCAUUAACCUGUUGGAUCCUGGUUCAUUGCUGACUGUGCAAAUUCCAAAGUCCGGGCUUAGGGUUUACUUUACUAGGGACUCCCAUGUGUGUACAUAAACAAUUGUGUGCAGUAUCAAGACAGUGUUAUCCCUUUUUCUGGAUAAUAUUUUUUUUGUUUUUUGCCAUUUUACAACAUUACAUUUGUCAUUUCACAUGCCCUAUCAAGACAGAAAUACUGUUUUCCAUGCACAGACUCCAUAUCAUCGCUCUAGAUAGUCUACAACUUUGUGCAGUAGUAAUUACAACAAGUAACAUUUUGUUAUUUGUGUAUUAUUCAAUUUUCUAUCAAUCACUGUAUGCUGCUGAUUAUGGUGGGCAAGAAUGAGCUGGCACUCUUUCAGGCAUGACAUAUGGACAUUAUAUUACAUCUUCAUUUACUGGUGGAAAUAAUAGAAGAGUCUCCUUUUAAAUGGCCACUGAGUCUAAUCUUCCUCCAAGAGCUUUGUGCCCUUGUAAUGAGUUAUAUCCGUCCCCAUGUCCUCAGCUAAAUUUUUCCAUGAUGGCAUAUUCCAUUUACCCAGCCCUCAACCAAAUUUUUGACAAUGUAACAUGUCACUUGGAUCUAGUGGGUUAAUAAAUUGCAAAUCAUGAUAAUUAUCAUUAGAUAUGUACGAAGAUGGAUGUACAUUUACACAAAUGCACAUGCACAUUUAUAAAUGUACAUAUGCAGUACAUAGAUUGUGUAUAUAGAUUGUACAUGUUAUAACUAUUUUGCUUUGAAGAAUUGUACAGUAUCUUUGAAGUAAAGUAUUCAUAAUUGCAUACUUGUAUCCUCUAGCAUGAAUGUAAAAGAGUAUAACACACAUGAAACUUACUGAAAAAAAUUAUAUUAGGAACAGACUGGAUACAUAUUGAAACUGAAUCACUUGCUGUAUUGUUACCUUUGUAUCCUUAGAUCAUGAAUACGGUCAAGUUUUUGACAUGCCUUUGAGCACUACGUGAACAUAGACUCUUGCAAGUUGUUAAUGAUAAUGAGGUUGGCCCAAGUCAAAUGCUGCAUAUGCUCAACUUACAGAUUCUACAAGUUGCCGCCUCCCCCAGCAAAGGAAAAAGUUGAGAUUCUAAUCACUCAUGAACUUUGAAUCAUUAUUGAUAUUGUGAGACUUAGAAGCUUGGGAAGAAAUAUUUUGUAUUUGUUAUUUACAUCACAUUUUUUCAUGCUGUCUUAAAACAAGCAAAUUUU